rnacentral:tRNA from 106 species
GCGGGAAUAGCUCAGUUGGUAGAGCAUAACCUUGCCAAGGUUAGGGUCGCGAGUUCGAGUCUCGUUUCCCGCUCCA